rnacentral:rRNA from 1 species
UAAUAAGGGCAUCUGGUGGAUGCCUUGGCGUUAAGAGGCGAUGAAAGACGUGGCACUCUGCGAUAAGCUACGGUGAGCCGAGAGCAGGCUUUGACCCGUAGAUUUCUGAAUGGGGAAACCCCACCCAAUAGGGUGAUCCCAACGUGAAUACAUAGCGUUGGGAGGCGAACCCGGGGAACUGAAACAUCUCAGUACCCGGAGGAAAGGACAUCAACCGAGACUCUGCUAGUAGCGGCGAGCGAACGCGGACCAGGCCAGUGGCUUAUGCAUAAGAACCGGAACGAUCUGGAAAGGUCGGCCAUAGUGGGUGAUAGCCCCGUACGGGUAGAAAUUGCAUAAGUCCUCGAGUAGGGCGGGACACGUGAAAUCCUGUCUGAACAUGGGGGGACCACCCUCCAAGCCUAAGUACUCCUUAACGACCGAUAGUGUACCAGUACCGUGAGGGAAAGGUGAAAAGCACCCCGAUGAGGGGAGUGAAAUAGACCUGAAACCGGAUGCCUACAAGCAGUAGGAGCCUCCAUUGUGAGGUGACUGCGUACCUUUUGUAUAAUGGGUCAGCGACUUAUGUUCAGUGGCGAGGUUAACCGUUUAGGGGAGCCGUAGGGAAACCGAGUCUGAAUAGGGCGAUUUAGUCGCUGGGCAUAGACCCGAAACCGGGCGAUCUAUCCAUGAGCAGGUUGAAGGUUGAGUAACAUCAACUGGAGGACCGAACCCACUGUCUUUGAAAAGCCAGGGGAUGACUUGUGGAUCGGAGUGAAAGGCUAAUCAAGCCCGGAGAUAGCUGGUUCUCCCCGAAAGCUAUUUAGGUAGCGCCUCGGACGAAUACCACAGGGGGUAGAGCACUGUUUCGGCUAGGGGGUCAUCCCGACUUACCAACCCGAUGCAAACUCCGAAUACCUGUGAGUACUAUCCGGGAGACACACGGUGGGUGCUAACGUCCAUCGUGAAGAGGGAAACAACCCAGACCGCCAGCUAAGGUCCCCAAAUACCAGUUAAGUGGGAAACGAUGUGGGAAGGCUCAGACAGCUAGGAGGUUGGCUUAGAAGCAGCCAUCCUUUAAAGAAAGCGUAACAGCUCACUGGUCUAAAUAAGCUGUCCCGCGCCGAAGAUGUACCGGGGCUCAAGCCACACACCGAAACUGCGGACUUGUUCUUUGAACAAGUGGUAGCGGAGCGUUCCGUAAGCCUGUGAAGGUGUGCCGUAAGGCAUGCUGGAGGUAUCGGAAGCGAGAAUGCUGACAUGAGUAGCGAUAAAGGGAGUGAGAACCUCCCUCGCCGAAAGCCCAAGGGUUCCUGCGCAAGGCCAAUCCGCGCAGGGUGAGUCGGCCCCUAAGACGAGGCAGAAAUGCGUAGUCGAUGGGAAACAGGUUAAUAUUCCUGUACCCGU